rnacentral:tRNA from 1 species
CACUGAGAAGCUUAAAAGGGACGAAGCGCUAGCCUUUUAAGCUAGAAACUGGUGGCCCCCAACCACCCCCAGUGA